rnacentral:rRNA from 1 species
GAUGAACGCUGGCGGCGUGCCUAAUACAUGCAAGUCGAGCGAACAGACGAGGCGCUUGCUCCUCUGACGUUAGCGGCGGACGGGUGAGUAACACGUGGAUAACCUACCUAUAAGUCUGGGAUAAUCUCGGGAAACCGGAGCUAACACCGGAUAAUAUAUUGAACCGCAUGGGUGAAUAGUGAAAGUCGGGUUUUCUGUAUCUUAUAGCUGGAUCUGCGCCGCUUUAGCUAGUUGGGAAGUUCACGGCUUACCAAGGGUACGAUGCGUAGCCGACGGAUAAGGGGGGUAGGCCACACUAGAACGUGAACGCGGACCAGAGUCCUGCGGGAGGGCGCAGUAUGGAAUCUUCCGCAACAGGCGAGAGCUUUGCGGAACAGCGCCGAGUGAGUGAUGAAGGUCUUCGGAUCGUAAAACUCUGUUAUGAGGGAUGAACAAAUGUGUAAGUAACUAUGCACGUCUUGACGGUACCUAAUCAGAAAGCCACGGCUAACUACGUG